rnacentral:rRNA from 1 species
CCUACGGGUGGCAGCAGCGGGGAAUAUUGCACAAUGGGCGCAAGCCUGAUGCAGCCAUGCCGCGUGUGUGAAGAAGGCCUUCGGGUUGUAAAGCACUUUCAGCGGGGAGGAAGGCGGUGACGUUAAUAACCUCAUCGAUUGACGUUACCCGCAGAAGAAGCACCGGCUAACUCCGUGCCAGCAGCCGCGGUAAUACGGAGGGUGUAAGCGUUAAUCGGAAUUACUGGGCGUAAAGCGCACGCAGGCGGUCUGUCAAGUCGGAUGUGAAAUCCCCGGGCUCAACCUGGGAACUGCAUUCGAAACUGGCAGGCUAGAGUCUUGUAGAGGGGGGUAGAAUUCCAGGUGUAGCGGUGAAAUGCGUAGAGAUCUGGAGGAAUACCGGUGGCGAAGGCGGCCCCCUGGACAAAGACUGACGCUCAGGUGCGAAAGCGUGGGGAGCAAACAGGAUUAGAUACCCGUGUAGUC